ACUUGAGAUAUUUGGUCACCUAUUAUCAUAUUGACUGAAUUAUUUUGAAAACAAUACGAAAUUUAUACAGGUUUAUGGUCAUACCGGACAUGUUAAAGAAUGCUCCAAUGUUCAAGCGUCUAGAUGCUAGAAUCAAGGGUAAGAGCUCAUCAAUUGGAGUUGGUAGGGGCAGGGCUGUGGCAAUGCGGGCUAAAGCUGCAGCAGCUGGCCGUGGAGCAGCACCUGGUAGGGGUGUUGUACCACCUGUUCGAAGGUAAUCUUCCCUUGGAAAACUGUAGAUCAUAACCUUCUCUCUGGAGCAUUAUUGUCAACUACUGUAGGUCAUCUGAGUAAUGUCUUCAGUUUAGGACUCCUGCUCUUGAGGCCCUUAAAACUUAAUGAAAAAUGAUGCUGCUGUUCCUGCUUAAAUUUGUUGAAAAGAAUGGGGCGGGAAAAAGGGAUUAUGUUACCUGGACUAUCACAAGCUCAGUUUUUGUAAUCUAUUGAAUAUUACUAAUUUGAUCUUUUAUGUGUUUGGAAUUUGGACAGUUUCUAUUGGUAAUGUGACCUUUUUAUUACAGCUCAGCAUGUUGAUAUGGUCUCAGAACU